rnacentral:rRNA from 1 species
CGGAGCUUGCUCCACCGAAAGAAAAAGAGUGGCGAACGGGUGAGUAACACGUGGGUAACCUGCCCAUCAGAAGGGGAUAACACUUGGAAACAGGUGCUAAUACCGUAUAACACUAUUUUCCGCAUGGAAGAAAGUUGAAAGGCGCUUUUGCGUCACUGAUGGAUGGACCCGCGGUGCAUUAGCUAGUUGGUGAGGUAACGGCUCACCAAGGCAACGAUGCAUAGCCGACCUGAGAGGGUGAUCGGCCACACUGGGACUGAGACACGGCCCAGACUCCUACGGGAGGCAGCAGUAGGGAAUCUUCGGCAAUGGACGAAAGUCUGACCGAGCAACGCCGCGUGAGUGAAGAAGGUUUUCGGAUCGUAAAACUCUGUUGUUAGAGAAGAACAAGGAUGAGAGUAGAACGUUCAUCCCUUGACGGUAUCUAACCAGAAAGCCACGGCUAACUACGUGCCAGCAGCCGCGGUAAUACGUAGGUGGCAAGCGUUGUCCGGAUUUAUUGGGCGUAAAGCGAGCGCAGGCGGUUUCUUAAGUCUGAUGUGAAAGCCCCCGGCUCAACCGGGGAGGGUCAUUGGAAACUGGGAGACUUGAGUGCAGAAGAGGAGAGUGGAAUUCCAUGUGUAGCGGUGAAAUGCGUAGAUAUAUGGAGGAACACCAGUGGCGAAGGCGGCUCUCUGGUCUGUAACUGACGCUGAGGCUCGAAAGCGUGGGGAGCGAACAGGAUUAGAUACCCUGGUAGUCCACGCCGUAAACGAUGAGUGCUAAGUGUUGGAGGGUUUCCGCCCUUCAGUGCUGCAGCAAACGCAUUAAGCACUCCSCCUGGGGAGUACGACCGCAAGGUUGAAACUCAAGGAAUUGAYCGGGGG